ACCACGUUAACCGCGAAACGAAAUCUACUUUGUGAAACCAACAAUGUUUGUUACGAAAUCUGAAACAAUGUUUGCUCUGUAAAGCAAAUCGCUGAUGGCCUCGUGGAUGAAGGUUUUCGCCUCUUAUGCGACGGUUAUAAUGGCACCACGAGUACAAAGGAACUGUACCUGUUCAAUAACUCGUGUGAAAACCCAAGAAAAGGAACGACCAUUUUCGGCGGGCUCGGCAUUCUGAUCAGGUAAGAAUUGACGAUGGCUUUGAAUAGAAAAUUUGAAAAGCAUCAAUGAUGAAUAUGCA